UACGUAGGGUGCAAGCGUUAAUCGGAAUUACUGGGCGUAAAGCGUGCGCAGGCGGUUAUGUAAGACAGUUGUGAAAUCCCCGGGCUCAACCUGGGAACUGCAUCUGUGACUGCAUAGCUAGAGUACGGUAGAGGGGGAUGGAAUUCCGCGUGUAGCAGUGAAAUGCGUAGAUAUGCGGAGGAACAACGAUGGCGAAGGCAAUCCCCUGGACCUGUACUGACGCUCAUGCACGAAAGCGUGGGGAGCAAACAGG
rnacentral:rRNA from 1 species